CUACGGAGGGUGCAAACGUUGUUCGGAAUCACUGGGCGUAAAGGGCGCGCAGGCGGUUUGAUUAGUCAGAUGUGAAAGCCCACGGCUUAACCGUGGAAGUGCAUUUGAAACUGUCAGACUUGAGUACUAGAGGGGAAAGUGGAAUUCCCGGUGUAGAGGUGAAAUUCGUAGAUAUCGGGAGGAAUACCGGUGGCGAAGGCGACUUUCUGGCUAGAUACUGACGCUGAGGCGCGAAAGCGUGGGGAGCAAACAGGAUUAGAUACCCUAGUAGUCC
rnacentral:rRNA from 1 species